rnacentral:sRNA from 1 species
GCAUCAUCUUCUCUUGGGUCAUACUGAUCUGGAGAAAGGAUCCUAUAAUAAAAUAUCUGCAUUCUUUCUGUAAUUUUGUUUGGAAUCCCUAAAUCUUUUCCCAAUUAGCAGUUGAUUCUGUCACUCUCUUCCCACCUAAAUGGUAUAUAAUUCUCCUUUGCCCUGGAGGUGUGUGUGCACAGUUUUGGGACCAGAUCUUGAUAUGAUGUAGGUUCUAAACAGUCGCAGAAUAAAGAGUGACAGAAAUGUUGGUUCAACCACUCAAUAAAUGUGUUGCAGCCGCAAUGAAGGCUGUCCAGGGAAAGAGUAAACACCAACGAAGGCUUUCUAGAGAAGUUGCAACAAU